rnacentral:rRNA from 1 species
UACGCAGGGUGCAAGCGUUGUUCGGAAUCACUGGGCGUAAAGGGCGCGCAGGCGGUUUUGUAAGUCUCAAGGGAAAUCCUUGGGCUUAACCCAAGGGCUGCAUUAGAUACUGCAAAACUCGAGUUCGGGAAAAGCAAGCGGAAUUCCUGGUGAAGGGGUGAAAUCCGUAGAUAUCAGGAAGAACACCAGUGGCGAAAGCGGCUUUCUAGACCGCAACUGACGCUUAGGCGCGAAAGCGUGGGGAGCAAACAGG